rnacentral:rRNA from 1 species
GGCCUUUUGAAUAUAAUUUAAGGUCUGGCCUGCCCAAUGAGAAUUUGAAUGGCCGCAGUAUAUUGACUGUGCUAAGGUAGCAUAAUCAUUAGUUUCUUAAUUAGGAACUGGAAUGAAAGGUUAAAUGAGAAAAUAACUGUCUCUUAAGUUUUAAUAGAAUUUUAUUUUUAAGUAAAAAAGCUUAAAUUAACUUGGAAGACGAGAAGACCCUGUAGAUUUUAAUAUAUAAUUUUUUAUAGCUGUUUUUGUUAAUUAAAUUAGUUAAUAAAAUUAUUUAUUUGGUUGGGGUGACUGAAAAAUUAAAAUAACUUUUUAGUUUAAUUAACACUAAUUAGUGAUUUGUUGAUCCGAAAUUUUCGAUUAUAAGACACAAAUUACCUCAGGGAUAACAGCGUAAUCUUUUUUUAGAGUUCAAAUCGAUAAAAGGGGUUGCGACCUCGAUGUUGGAUUAAAAUUUACUUAGGGUGCAGAAGUUCUAAGGUUA